rnacentral:rRNA from 1 species
CCUACGGGUGGCUGCAGUGAGGAAUAUUGGUCAAUGGCCGGAAGGCUGAACCAGCCAUGCCGCGUGAAGGUCAGUGCCCUAUGGGCGUUAAACUUCUUUUGUGCGGGAGCAAUAAUGGUCACGUGUGGCCAGACGAGAGUACCGUACGAAUAAGCAUCGGCUAACUCCGUGCCAGCAGCCGCGGUAAUACGGGGGAUGCAAGCGUUAUCCGGAUUUAUUGGGUUUAAAGGGUGCGUAGGGUGUGAGGUAAGUCAGUGGUGAAAUGCCCCGGCUCAACGGGGUGAAGUGCCAUGGAUACUGCCUGGCUGGAGUGCGGAUGCGGUGGGAGGAAUGUGUGGUGUAGCGGUGAAAUGCAUAGAUAUCACACAGAACACCGAUUGCGAAGGCAUCUCACGAAUCCGCGAUUGACGCUGAUGCACGAAAGCGUGGGUAUCAAACAGGAUUAGAUACCCGAGUAGUC